rnacentral:rRNA from 1 species
CCGGCACGGGUGAGUAACACGUAUGCAAUCCACCUGUAACAGGGGGAUAACCCGGAGAAAUCCGGACUAAUACCCCAUAAUAUGGGCGCUCCGCAUGGAGAGCCCAUUAAAGAGAGCAAUUUUGGUUACAGACGAGCAUGCGCUCCAUUAGCCAGUUGGCGGGGUAACGGCCCACCAAAGCGACGAUGGAUAGGGGUUCUGAGAGGAAGGUCCCCCACAUUGGAACUGAGACACGGCCAA